AUUCCCCACUGCUGCCUCCCGUAGGAGUCUGGGCCGUGUCUCAGUCCCAAUGUGGCCGUCCGCCCUCUCAGGCCGGCUACUGAUCGUCGCUUUGGUGGGCCGUUACCUCACCAACUGGCUAAUCAGACGCGGGUCCAUCUCAGACCACCGGAGUUUUUCACACCGCUCCAUGCGGAGCUGUGCGCUUAUGCGGUAUUACCAGCCGUUUCCAGCUGCUAUCCCCCGGUCUGAGGCAGGUUCCCCACGCGUUACUCACCCGUCCGCCACUAUGCUGCUGCUGAUUCUGCCGAAACUUCCUCUGCUGCAGCACCGUUCGGCUUGCAUGUGUUAAGCACGCCGCAGCGUUUAUUCUGAGCCAA
rnacentral:rRNA from 1 species